AACAUCUCAGAGACUCAGCCUUACAUUUGAGCUUCAGUCAGGCCCAGACUCAGGAGUUUGUUGAGGAGUGAGAAGUUUGUUGUGCAACAAAAUCGGUGACUAGAAGGAUUUGGAGCAAAGAACGUGGAAGUUAAGUAAGCAGGACUCUGGAUCAGCCAAUAUGCAGCAGUCACAUCACUGGAGGUUAACCAAUCCACGCUGGAACCAGCACUGCUACAAAGUGAAUUACAACGGCCCUGAGCUGUG